GGAGAGGUGGCCGAGCGGUCUAAGGCGCACGCCUGGAAAGCGUGUAUACUACGUGGAGUGGUAUCGAGGGUUCGAAUCCCUCUCUCUCCG
rfam:Bacteroides sp. SM23_62 WORSMTZ_20942, whole genome shotgun sequence.